CUUUUCUAUGGAAGCUUGCUUCCACUGGGAAGAUAGUGGCGAACGGGUGAGUAACACGUGGGUAACCUGCCCAUAAGAGGGGGAUAACAUCCGGAAACGGGUGCUAAUACCGCAUAGUUUUCUUGAUCGCAUGAUUGAGAAAGGAAAGACGGCCUUUGUGCUGUCGCUUAUGGAUGGACCCGCGGCGUAUUAGUUAGUUGGUGAGGUAACGGCUCACCAAGACGAUGAUACGUAGCCGACCUGAGAGGGUGAUCGGCCACAUUGGGACUGAGACACGGCCCAAACUCCUACGGGAGGCAGCAGUAGGGAAUCUUCCGCAAUGGACGAAAGUCUGACGGAGCAACGCCGCGUGAGUGAAGAAGGUUUUCGGAUCGUAAAACUCUGUUGUCAGAGAAGAACAAGUCGGAGAGUAACUGCUCCGGCCUUGACGGUAUCUGACCAGAAAGCCACGGCUAACUACGUGCCAGCAGCCGCGGUAAUACGUAGGUGGCAAGCGUUGUCCGGAUUUAUUGGGCGUAAAGCGAGCGCAGGCGGUUCCUUAAGUCUGAUGUGAAAGCCCACGGCUCAACCGUGGAAGGUCAUUGGAAACUGGGGAACUUGAGUGCAGAAGAGGAGAGUGGAAUUCCAUGUGUAGCGGUGAAAUGCGUAGAUAUAUG
rnacentral:rRNA from 1 species